AUGGCCCACCCCACUCCACCUCUCUCCUCUGUGCAAACGCCAACGUGCAGGCGCACUGCUCCGAUGCGCCCGCCGGUCCGCUUGACCACCUCCUGCUCGCCGCGCGGCCCAGCCGUCAACUGGUGCGCCGCCGCCAACGAGCGGGGUACGGGCAGAGGCGAGCUCGCGGGAUGCGGCGCGCACAAGCGGGGCACGGGCAGAGGCGCGCGAGGCGAGGCGAGGAUGGCUCCGGCAAGCGCGGGGCGCGGAGCGGCAGCGUGCGGGACGGCUCUGGCGGGCGCGACGAGCUACAGCACGAGCGGAGCGCGGCGCGCAGGGGGCGGCAGCGCGCGGGACGGCUCCGUCGGGCGCGAGCGGUGCGCGGCCAAAUGCAACGCACGGGAGGCGCGGCGAGCUGCAGCGCGUGGCGGGCGGGGCGGGGGGCGCAACGAGCUACGGCGGGCGCGAGCUGGCGCAGCGGCCGCGGUUAGCUGCGGCGAGCGCGGCGGGCAUGCUGCUCCGGUCAUGCAGGUGGCUGCUUGUGUGCGUGCAUGCACAACGCAUGCUACCCGCGUGCGUAGCUAG
rnacentral:rRNA from 1 species